AUUUAAAUUAAUUAAUUAUUAUCCCUAGAGUAAAAUAUGAGUUCUGACUACAGGGAGUCCAUCAAUUGAAGAAAAACCCCAGAAAGAAAAUAUUGAAAAAUUCAACUGAGUAUUGAUGAGCGAUAUUCCUCUUUUGGAACUUUCCAGAAUAACUCAUUGUCAAGCUCUGCAUUGACGAAAAGGAAGGGGGGAAAUGCAACGGACCAGACCGGGACUCCUGAAUCUCUAUAGUGACGUGCUAUCUGGCCACCGGCGAUCGAACCCGGCCGACCGCUACUCUAUGAUAAGACACUCCGUCCCCUUUCGUAAAAUCCUGGAUCCGCCACUGAGGUCACCUCCGAGGACCCAUGACAUUCACAUCUGAUGCCGAGCGUUUGGCGAUGGAACUGUCACUACCUGUUUUAACGACUUAGAUUUGUCACUGCCAGGAUUUGAAGUCUGUCCUUCCGUAUGCGGGGAAAACGCUCUACCUCUAGACCACUGCGGCUGUUCACAUGAAAGAUCUUUCUGUAAUAAAUUGUAUGUACAAAAUAUGAAAGCCCUAGCUUAUACAUCUUCGCUAG